UGGGGAAUAUUGCACAAUGGGCGCAAGCCUGAUGCAGCCAUGCCGCGUGUGUGAAGAAGGCCUUCGGGUUGUAAAGCACUUUCAGCGAGGAGGAAGGCGUUAAGGUUAAUAACCUUGGCGAUUGACGUUACUCGCAGAAGAAGCACCGGCUAACUCCGUGCCAGCAGCCGCGGUAAUACGGAGGGUGCAAGCGUUAAUCGGAAUUACUGGGCGUAAAGCGCACGCAGGCGGUUUGUUAAGUCAGAUGUGAAAUCCCCGAGCUUAACUUGGGAACUGCAUUUGAAACUGGCAAGCUAGAGUCUUGUAGAGGGGGGUAGAAUUCCAGGUGUAGCGGUGAAAUGCGUAGAGAUCUGGAGGAAUACCGGUGGCGAAGGCGGCCCCCCUGGACAAAGACUGACGCUCAGGUGCGAAAGCGUGGGGCAGCAAACAGGAUUAGAUACCCUGGUAGUCCACGCUGUAAACGAUGUCGAUUUGGAGGUUGUGGGCUUGACCCGUGGCUUCCGGAGCUAACGCG
rnacentral:rRNA from 1 species